UCCUUCUUCGACCCACACACGAACCGCCGCCCCUCCAGCCUGCCCACCGAUGCUCCGUCUGCCCCUCUUCUCCAUCUUCUCCCCCAGGCCAUACCGUGGUGGAUGACAUGCCCGUCGGCGCUCCAUCCUCCCAUCUUCUCCAUCUUUUCCCUAGCCAUCUCCCUCCUCCCUCCCUUUUCCGCCCCCACCUCUACUCCGAUCUGGUCUGGAACUAGGCGCCGGCGACUUGGAGGCAGAGGACACUCGAGCGCUCCUUCUGGAUCGGGUCAACGCGGCGCCACCUCUCGAUGCGGAAUGGCGGGGGCGGCUAGAUCGGCAGCGGCAACUGGAGCUUGCAGAACGACGGCGGCGGCUGGAGCUGGGGAUUGCCAGCCCUGGGAGGAGCGCGUCUCGCCGGCUGCGGCUCCACUGGGAGGAGCGCAACUACGUAGUCCGUCGCUCGCGCCGCUAGGAGAAAGAAGGGAUGGCGCGACGGCCUAGGCAGGAGCUCGCCGGAGCCAAGCGAGUGCAGACAUGGGUGGGAGGCAGAGGGAUCCGGCGUGGCGGCGCGAAGUCCUUCCAGGUGGAGGCAUGUUGGGUGCCUUUGGCUGUCACCGACGCACACUGAGACAGGUGAGGAACAAAGCAACAUGCUGAGUAUUUGAGGUGCCUUCUUUAGUUUCAGAAUCGUCUAAACUUCUGCACAACAUGGCCUUGAAAUACAGAAAUAGAUUAUGUCUUUUGUUAGACUAGAUUGUUGCCUAUGUUAUGCUGUUUGCAGGCUAUAAUUGUUCAGGGAGCCAUGCAAUUGGAGCUGAGAGAAUUAUUAGCACGUUAUGUAAAGAAGUGUUGAGCCAGUACAAAGGGACGAUCCUCAAUUUGUUAAUAGCAGAGACCCACAUAAAGUAAGGCCGGUCUGUGUUUAUUUGAUGGUACUCACGCUGUCAGGAUUGAAUCUGUAUGCAUCGUUCUGAUGCAGAGGCCGGGGAGUCCCCCCUUUUCGAAAAAAAACAGGAUUGAAUCCGUUGUCAGUAAAGAAAAUGUUGGCUCAGAUGUUAUGUGCACAACCUGUGUGAGAUGGUUGUUGUGUGGAUAGAGAAUCAGUUCCAUGAAAACAAAUAAAGGAGCGGAUAUUGCAAUAGGUUAACCAGCUGUGUGAGCGUUUACGGAGCGCGAACGGGGAGUCAACAGUCAGCUGCUGUCAUAUCUCAAAAAUGCGGGUUCGUUUUUCGUUGCUUACAGCGAGAGCGGUCGUGGUGGACAGGAACGACCACCACGGAUCCCUCGCCCCAAGUCAAGAUCCAGUUGUUGAAUGUUCACAAGAAAAUUUAUGUGGAUUGGAGAUUGACUGAUUGUUUGGUUGUCCGCAGAUUCAAAGAUGAAGUACAUAGUAAAGGUAGGGGCAAGGGGCAUCAGACGUGCUAAUUUUUCUGAACUCUACAAUGGAACCUGUGUUUCUGAAUUUCUGUCAAAGUGUCAACUCUGGAUCAUACAUAGUAGUGCUUUUUUGAUAGUAGGUGGUCUGAAUUUCUGUCAAUGGUCUGAAUUUCUCAAAGUGACUACUCUGGAUCGUACAUAGUAGUGCUCUUUUGAUAAUUGAUAGUAGGUGGCCGAAGUGUCAAACGCUGGAACAAGCACGAUCCAGAGUUUUGAGUUUUGAGUUUGCCCCACCUUAAGUUUUUUCCAUCCUCCACCACGACCGGACGCCCUCUCCAUCUAAAUCAUGCCUCUCUAAACGUACUGUCAUGUAUCAAGCUCCUACCUGACCGAUGGGACAUACGGUGGUCGUGCUCCAACCCAUUUAAUCUCAGGUCUGAUCUAUGUUCAGCUCCUUAUACAUAUAGUACUUGGUUAUACAAACAUGGAACUGAUGGAUAUGUUCGAUUAAUGGAUGCAUAAUUAGACACCUGAUGAUGAAGAGAUGGAAUUAAUGGAUGCGUACAUAUAUGAUUGGACCCUUGAUAAGCUUAGGUGGAUAUAUGGUUUACUGCAUUCUCAGUAGGUUGAUAAUUACUGUAUAUGAAAACAAAAUUGCUCAUUCUUGUUUUGUCGGAUAUUCGCACAAGGCCACGCCGGCAAGAUAAUUAGUUACUUUUUUAUAAAACCCACAGGUAAUCUAUAUAUUUGCAGGUGAUUCAGAUGAGCGUCUCCCACAAGGUGUGAGUAUUCUAUUUUCUGAAGAACCAAGCAGGAGCUCUGCCGAAAUACUAUUAAAACAAGGGAAUGGAGUACAUACUAUGUAGAAUUAUAACAUGGACAUGCUCAGCAAUCCAAAUCUUAUUACAUAUUUUUUUUAAGUUUGUAAUAUAGCAGCUCCUAUAAGUAUCAAGUGUAGAUGGAAUUCCUACUGACUUACAUUUCUAUGAAUUUUUAGAUAAUGGUAAUAAUGCUUAAAACCUUACACCAAGGUUGUAUAUUAAAGUCUUUUGCACUACCCGAGAGGUCAAGCAUCCCAGAUCAUGAUCCAAUCAUGACUGAAAUUGCCACAUGCUCGGGCAGAAGCUUAAGGUCGGCAAUGCCACCGACAUGCAUCAUAUGAGAUGUUGUCCAGCUAGCUCUGCCAUCCAUACCCCCUCAAUGAUACUGUCCAGAUAGCAUCCAUCACCAUGAUCAUGGCAGAGCAGAUUAGGCGUUUUAUCACUUAUCAGCAUGUUUUUUUGAUGUCUCUUUCUUGGUAAUAUUGGUCAUGUAUUUGACAUAAUGCCUAGCCAUGGUGCCAUGUGCAAGUCACUGUUAAGGGUCAGCAACAGAAUUGCAGAUCAAUGUGUAACACUAUGUUGCACUAGGUCUAGGAGACCGAGGGCAUCCAGAUCAACCUCUUCGAGGCCUGAAACAUUAUGUUUGUUAGGUCUUUUUUCCGUUAAACUACCCCUUUACAUAUUGUUUUGAUGCAUAUGAGAGCAAAGGCCCAAGUUCUUUUUAUUUCAUUUAAUUGGCGCCGGUAACGGAAUAGCUCUUGCACAACCUUGGUUGUGUAUCUGAAUCUACUAAGUAGUAUAUGUUGGGAUCAAAGGAAAGAAAAAUACUUAUGGUAUUUGUUCCGCUUGAUAACAUUAUGUCAUUGUCAUACAUAUGUGAGAUUAUUUCACUGGUUCAAAAAUGAUGUCACAUCUCUUUGUUAUUGACAUACUCCGUCCGUCCGGAAUUACUUGAAGUUCUUUUCCUUUUUUCACUUGGUCACCAUCAUUGGGUUGACACUUUAUAAUUAAUGUUUUUAUGUUAAGAAUGUGUUGGAGGCUAAGAGUAAUCCUAAUUAAACUUGUUCAAUUUAUCGUGGCCUUUGCAAUUGUAGUAUUCACUGCCCAGCAGUUUCAAUAAAAGGAAAGAUGAGACAAGACAGAAGGAGAUGGAUUGGGAGUUGCACACACAAACUUUCAAACUAAUUUUAUACCCGUUGCAACGCACGAGCCCUUUUGCUAGUAAUAAUAAAGCACGGAUUGACUCCGUGGAUUCACCGUCACAAUACGCUUUCUUUCUGUGAAUUUACGCUUUUAGUUUUAAUUUAAAACAUAUACGCGAGGUGGUACUAAUAUUGACCCACUGCCACCCGUAAGUAAAAAAAAGACCUAGCGAGUCGAUCCCCAUCUUCCUCUCUCCCUCUAUCCCACAGGUCACCUACGACGCUCCUCUCUCCCUCGAUCCCUUCUCUGCACCACCGGCGCCCAUGGCAAGCACUAUCCCCUUGCACCGCUUGCCGGAUACAUCCAUUCCCACCGCUGGCGCUCCUGCUCGCUCUGCAGCUGUCCCCAACUCCUCCUCAAUCCACACCUCCGUGUCCUCCGCCUUCGCCGCCUGCCGCCUCCUUCUCCCCACGACCCCACCUCCUCUAUUUCUCCCCUUCCGCCUCCUGCCCCACUCCCUGCCCGCCUCCUUCUCCCCACCCCGCCCGCCUCCUUAUCCUGCCUCGCGACUGUCUCGGUGCCGGUGGUGGUGGCCACGACCAGACUCUUGCGCAGCUACCGGCUGCAGUUCCUUGCGCUUCCUCCCACGUCUCCACCACCUCGCCUGUGCAACACCGUGCCCGCACGGUCCCAGCGCCAUCUACUACAGCCCCGCGGUCAACCGUCUGGACACCAUGGGCAGCGGCCAUGGAGGCCGCACCUCUAUCCGCUCGCCAGCCAGUACCUCCGCCUACAUCCUCCCUCAUCCAUCUAGAUCAGGGUUGCCCAACAGGUGUUUGCUUUUAUGCCUAAAAAAGUGGAAUCAACCUUUUCUAUUAUCAUGCCAAAAGAAAAAAAACCUUUAAUGCUACAGCCGAGCGGAGCCAUGGAUGCCUAUGCUUUCGCAUACUUGCCUCUGUUGCUGGAGGGAGUGCGAGAUGGGCGGCGCAGUGGCCAGCGAUGGCAACAGCAUCACGGCAGCUGUGUUCACCCAGUUUGAGGUGACGUCGAGGAGAUGUCGACGAACUCCGUGGAUGAGCGGUGGUCAUGAGAGUUUGCCGAGGAAGGCCGACUCGAUCAUGGAGUUGCUAUCGCUGCAGAAGGCGACGCUAGCAAUAGAGACAUCCAUCCAUUAGUGCCACCAUGAACAACAACGUUGUAAGGCUCUGCACUGGUUGCUGAAGUAGCAGAGAGGCUUGCGUCAUGCAAGCAACUGGUGGCUACAAGGAUCUGUAUGUAAACAUGGCUUUUGCUAAAGAGAGAAACUGGGAGAUACUACUAUCCUGGUUCCAUGGAAGGCUUAUUUGUCAUCUUGAAUCCUGAUUUGGACAAGAAGAACUCCCCCAUGUUUCCUUGAAUCUCUAUAAAGCAGUGUUGUGCAUUACUAUUGAAUGACUCCGUGGGUCGUGGGCAUAGAGUGGAGGUUGCAUCACAUCCUCUACAUUGUGUCAAAGGACUUGCAUGUUGUGGCGUUCAUAGUGGACGGGGUUUGUUUUCAUAUGACCAUCGUGCUACACCCGUCCAGGAUACGGCACAACGGAGACACAGGCGCAGACGUGCAGCAGGUACUCGUUCUAAGGAUUCUUUUUAGAUUAGACCCUGCGUCAACCUUUUUAAAUGUCUCCUAUUGAUACACAUCCCUCGAAAUCUCGGUACAAUUGAGAAGUAUGCUGACGUCUUGGCAUGUGGCCACGUUAGAGUAAUGCACGUACCUAGACACCAGGGGCUUCUUACAAAGGGCAUUGUUUAGACCCACAAUAAA